GAUGAACGCUGGCGGCGUGCCUAAUACAUGCAAGUCGAGCGAAGCGGGGACGGGUGAGUAACACGUGGAUAACCUCCUAUAAGACUGGGAUAACUUCGGGAAACCGGAGCUAAACCGGAUACUUAUAGAUGGAUCCGCGCUGCAUUAGCUAGUUGGUAAGGUAACGGCUUACCAAGGCAACGAUGCAUAGCCGACCUGAGAGGGGGAUCCGCCAAACUGGAACCGAGACAAGGGCCAAGAUCCUAAGGGGGGCAGCCGUAGGGAAUCUUUCGCAAUGGGGGGAAGCCUGACGGGGGCACGGCGCGGUGGUGAAGAAGGGCUUCCGUACGGAAAACUCUUGUAUUAGGGAAGCGGUACCUAAUCAGAAAGCCACGGCUAACUACGUGCCAGCAGCCGCGGUAAUUC
rnacentral:rRNA from 1 species